UACGUAGGGGGCUAGCGUUGUCCGGAUUUAUUGGGCGUAAAGAGCGUGUAGGCGGCCAUGUAGGUCCGGUGUGAAAACUCGAGGCUUAACCUCGAGAUGUCAUCGGAAACCAUUUGGCUAGAGUCCGGAAGAGGAGAGUGGAAUUCCCGGUGUAGCGGUGAAAUGCGCAGAUAUCGGGAGGAACACCAAUGGCGAAGGCAGCUCGCUGGGACGGUACUGACGCUGAGACGCGAAGCGUGGGAGCAAACAGG
rnacentral:rRNA from 1 species